GGAUAAUGAGGGAAAUUCAGCUGCAAUUUCUACCAUCCCACUGAUAAGCAAGCUGAUUGGCUAAGCUGGUGUUUCUUUGCUCCCUCACCUCUCUACAUGGGACCCAUCUAGUACCGCACGCUACGGCAAAGGAGGCCAACAUUUCAAGGAUAGAAGAGGACUACAGCUCAGUUAAGGGUAUACAAAGAGCUGCGCUCUCUGAUACAGAAGCCAGUAGCCAUAUGUGGCUAUUUAAAUCUAAUUAAUUAAAAUUAAAUUAAAUGAAAAUU
rnacentral:snRNA from 1 species